ACUGGGGGACUGUCUCGGGGAUUUACUCGGUGAAAAUGCGAUACCGGUGAAGAUGCCGGUUAAGUGCAGUUAGACGAAAAGACCCCGGAAGCUUUACUGUAAGUUGUUAUUGGCUUUAUGUUUUUAAUACGUAGCGUAGUGGGGAGGCUUUGAAGCGUUUCUCUCGGGAGGCGUGGAGCCGCCAAUGAAAUACCCAUUUUUAAAAAUGUAAAAUCUAACCUGUCCGGCAAAACCGGAUGGGGACAGUAGCUGCUGGGCAGUUUGUGUGGGGCGCAAGCCUCCUAAAAAGUAACGGAGGCGUUUAUUAAGGUCAGCUAGGCGCGGAUGGACACCGCGCUAGUCGUGCAAUGGCAUAAGCUGGCUUGACUGGAAGUCGGACAUGACGACCAGAUGCGAAAGCAGAACAUAGUGAACCGACCGUUGGCACUCGAUGCCACGGAAGAUUAACGGAUAAAAGCUACUCCGGGGAUAACAGGCUAGUUCCGUCCAAGAGUCCAUAUCGACGACGGAGUUCGGCACCUCAAAUCGGGGCGCAAUGAAAGUAAUUUCAUUCCUGGGGCAAUUAAAUUUGCCCGAAUAAAAAUUUGGCUUAUAACGGUGGACUCCAAAAAAUAAAUGAUAGGAAAUUUAUUUGGACAAUACCGUGGGAAGUCGUCUACUCAAAAUUUUGGAAAAAUAGAAUAAAAAAAUGACCGCAUGCUAACGGUCAUGAUAGAUAGAACAGAAAUGUGUUAAGAGCCAUAUUCGCUAAGAAAAUUAGUGAGGAAUGAUUUUGGAGCUCGUUUGGCUCUCGUAUUCAACUCAGUUAUUUUACAAUAGACAUACUCAAUUUCAUUGUGACUACGACAGAACGCCUUGAAUUUCUUAACCCAUUUUUUUGCGGCCUUUUCAUGAAAAAAUGGACCGACUGGAUCAAGCGAAUAAUUAGGUUUAGACCAAUGUGUGUUGAGACAAACCGAAGUUAACACAAAAAUAAUUUUUUUCAUUUCUCACCCUCCUUAAGGGAGUUUAGCAUAUACAAUUAAUUUGUCAAGUAUCAAGGCUUGAUUCCAAAAUUUUGAGUGGAUUGACCCCGUAGAGACUUCUCCGAUGUACAUCGGAGAGAGCGGCGCAGACAUAAUGCGCGGCUAAGACGCCAACCCCAGCAUCCGCCAGCCGGCGGAGCAGGGUGAAGAUAUAGUCCGAUCCUUCUAGUAAUAGAAGACAAAUACGACAGCGAUGUCGGCUCAUCUUAUCCUGGGGGUGGAGAAAACAAAACUUCUCUCUCCGAUGGAAACAUCGGAGUAAUAAACAAGCUCAAAACGGUGAAGGCCUAUUCAUGCGAUCUGCGAAGUUUCUCGCAGGUCCCAGGUGUGAUACAAUUCACGCACAUGAAGGCUAACGCCGUGGGAAAGAUAAGUAAUGAAGCUGGUCGAGCCUAUCUUGCUGGCUUGAUUGAUGGUGACGGGGCUAUUAUGGCUACCAUCGAAAAACACAGCGAGAAAAAGUUUGGUUUUAGAGUUCGGUUGGAAAUAAAAAUUACUCAGAAUUAUACUUAAUUUUAUUUCGCCGUAUUCUUUGGCUAAACAAAAGCAAAUUAAAUUGGCUAUACAAAUUUUGAAUAUAGAUAUUCAAACCAAGGUCGAUUUGAUUCGCAUGGCGAGAUUGGCGGAUGCAUUGUCGCGAUUUAAUGUACGAUCUAAAAAUCGCCGCAAAAAUUAUGCAUCAAUGAUCUAAUUAUUUAUCUCCCCUAACGACUGAUUGUUGUAAUUUUAGUUACAACAUGAGAUAUGCCCCGCUAAGCGGGGGUAUAACACGGCUUGCACCUACUUCUUCUUUGGUAACAAAGACAGAAACGGUGAUGGAAUAGUCUGAUACUUGCGGUAACGCAAGAUAACAAAGAAACGAGCUCCCAAGGGUUUGGCUGUUCGCCAAUUAAAAAGGUACGUGAGCUGGGUUCAAACCGUCGUGAGACAGGUUGGUCUCCUAUCUACUGCACUCGUUGAUUCUUGAGGGGGGUUCUUCCUAGUACGAGAGGACCGGAAGGAGGUGACCUCUGGUUUACCUGCUGUCCUGCCAAGGGCACCGCAGGGUCGCUAAGUCGCCAAGUGAUAAGCGCUGAAAGCAUCUAAGCGCGAAGCAUGCCCCAAGAUUAGGAAUCUGAUCCCUUGAAGACUACGAGGUUGAUAGGCUCUAGGUGUAAGAUCCGCAAGGAUUUCAGCCGUGGAGUACUAAUAGAUCAAACAAACCUGAUAA
rfam:Parcubacteria (Giovannonibacteria) bacterium GW2011_GWA1_44_25 TW53_C0009, whole genome shotgun sequence.